ensembl:snRNA U6 U6 spliceosomal RNA
GUGCUCACUUUAGCAGUACAUAUACUAAAAUUGGAACAAUAUAAAGAAGAUUAGCCUGGCCCCUGUGCAAGGAUGACAUGCAAAUUCAUGAGGAGUUCCAUAUUUUA